rnacentral:rRNA from 1 species
GUCCGCGCCGCGGUAAUACCGGCAGCUCAAGUGAUGGCCGAUCUUAUUGGGCCUAAAGCGUCCGUAGCUGGCUGCGCAAGUCCGUCGGGAAAUCCACUCGCCCAACGAGUGGGCGUCCGACGGAAACUGCACAGCUUGGGACCGGAAGGCUCGAAGGGUACGUUCGGGGUAGGAGUGAAAUCCCAUAAUCCCGCACGGACCACCGAUGGCGAAAGCACUUCGAGAAAACGGAUCCGACAGUGAGGGACGAAAGCCAGGGUCUCCAACCGGAUUAGAUACCCCUGUAGUCC